rnacentral:rRNA from 1 species
UGGGGAAUAUUGCACAAUGGGCGCAAGCCUGAUGCAGCCAUGCCGCAUGUAUGAAGAAGGCCUUCGGGUUGUAAAGUACUUUCAGCGGGGAGGAAGGCGAUAAGGUUAAUAACCUUGUCGAUUGACGUUACCCGCAGAAGAAGCACCGGCUAACUCCGUGCCAGCAGCCGCGGUAAUACGGAGGGUGCAAGCGUUAAUCGGAAUUACUGGGCGUAAAGCGCACGCAGGCGGUCUGUCAAGUCGGAUGUGAAAUCCCCGGGCUCAACCUGGGAACUGCAUUCGAAACUGGCAGGCUAGAGUCUUGUAGAGGGGGGUAGAAUUCCAGGUGUAGCGGUGAAAUGCGUAGAGAUCUGGAGGAAUACCGGUGGCGAAGGCGGCCCCCUGGACAAAGACUGACGCUCAGGUGCGAAAGCGUGGGGAGCAAACA